GGGCGCGUAGCUCAGGGGGAGAGCGCUAUCCUGACACGGUAGAAGUCAAGAGUUCAAAUCUCUUCGCGCCCACCA
rnacentral:tRNA from 1 species